rnacentral:rRNA from 1 species
GAUGAACGCUAGCGAUAGGCUUAACACAUGCAAGUCGAGGGGUAACGUGUUGGAAGCUUGCUUCCGAUGACGACGACCGGCGGAUGGGUGCGUAACGCGUAUGCAACUUGCCUCACAGUGGAGAAUAACCCGGAGAAAUCCGGACUAAUGUUCCAUACACUCUUAAGUACGCCUGUACAUGAGAGGAAAGAUUUAUCGCUGUGAGAUAGGCAUGCGUCCUAUUAGGUAGUUGGUGAGGUAACGGCUCACCAAGCCGACGAUAGGUAGGGGUGCUGAGAGGCAGAUCCCCCACAUUGGGACUGAGACACGGCCCAAACUCCUACGGGAGGCAGCAGUGAGGAAUAUUGGUCAAUGGAGGAAACUCUGAACCAGCCAAGUCGCGUGAAGGAAGAAUGUCCUAAGGAUUGUAAACUUCUUUAGCGAGCGAGUAAGGACUUCCACGUGAUGGGAGUUUGAAAGUAGCUCGAGAAUAAGUAUCGGCUAACUCCGUGCCAGCAGCCGCGGUAAUACGGAGGAUACGAGCGUUAUCCGGAUUUAUUGGGUUUAAAGGGUGCGCAGGUGGUCUUGCAAGUCAGUGGUGAAAAGCUGAGGCUCAACCUCAGCCUUGCCGUUGAAACUGUAAGACUUGAGAGUACAUGAUGUGGGCGGAAUGCGUAGUGUAGCGGUGAAAUGCAUAGAUAUUACGCAGAACUCCGAUUGCGAAGGCAGCUCACAAAGGUAUAUCUGACACUGAGGCACGAAAGCGUGGGGAGCGAACAGGAUUAGAUACCCUGGUAGUCCACGCCGUAAACGAUGAUUACUCGAAGUAUGCGAUAUGACAGUAUGCUUCCAAGCGAAAGUGAUAAGUAAUCCACCUGGGGAGUACGCCGGCAACGGUGAAACUCAAAGGAAUUGACGGGGCCCGCACAAGCGGAGGAACAUGUGGUUUAAUUCGAUGAUACGCGAGGAACCUUACCCGGGAUUGAAAUGUAUGUGAGCCUUUUGGGAAACCGAGAGGGUUCUCUUCGGAGACACAUAUGUAGGUGCUGCAUGGUUGUCGUCAGCUCGUGCCGUGAGGUGUCGGCUUAAGUGCCAUAACGAGCGCAACCCUUAUCGUCAGUUACUAACAGGUCAAGCUGAGGACUCUGGCGAGACUGCCGUCGUAAGGCGAGAGGAAGGUGGGGAUGACGUCAAAUCAGCACGGCCCUUACAUCCGGGGCGACACACGUGUUACAAUGGUAGGGACAGAGAGUAGCCACUCGGUGACGAGGAGCGGAUCUUGAAACCCUAUCUCAGUUCGGAUCGAAGUCUGCAACUCGACUCCGUGAAGCCGGAUUCGCUAGUAAUCGCGCAUCAGCCAUGGCGCGGUGAAUACGUUCCCGGGCCU